AUUGAACGCUGGCGGCAGGCCUAACACAUGCAAGUCGAACGAGUGGCGGACGGGUGAGUAAUGUCUGGGAAACUGCCCGAUGGAGGGGGAUAACUACUGGAAACGGUAGCUAAUACCGCAUACCAUCGGAUGUGCCCAGAUGGGAUUAGCUAGUCGGUGGGGUAACGGCUCACCUAGGCGGAGAUCCCUAGCUGGUCUGAGGGGAUGACCAGCCACACUGGAACGGAGACACGGUGCAGACGCCUACGGGAGGCAGCAGUGGGGAAUAUUGCACAAUGGGCGCGAGCCUGAUGCAGCCAUGCCGCGGGGAUGAAGAAGGCAUUCGGGUUGUAAAGUACGUUCAGCGAGGAGGCGGUACUCGCAGAAGAAGCACCGGCUAACUCCGUGCCAGCAGCCGCGGUAAUAC
rnacentral:rRNA from 1 species